AAGCCAGCUCCAGGUGGCAGGUGUCUCUUGCAAAUACCAUUUGGAUAUUUGUAGAGUUUUACUCACUGAAUUCUUCUUGCUCCUAGAGAGAAUAAGUGAUGACAAAUGAAAGGACACCUUACAAAGGAAUAUUAGUCAAAAGAGAAGGAUGUUUUCCUUCUUACGAGGUUUCUCGUGUGUAUCUGCAAAAAAGAAAAAAGUACAAAAGGAAAAGCCAGUUUUAUCAGAUGCUGAGAGGAAGAGGUGUGAAUCAAGAAAUUAUAUUGCUGUAGACAAAGCAUCCACAAAUUGUUCUAUUUUAUCAUGUUUUACUACAAGAAAA